UACGGGGGGAGCAAGCGUUGUUCGGAUUUACUGGGCGUAAAGGGCGCGUAGGCGGCCAGCACACGUCAGUUGUGAAAUCUCCGGGCUUAACUCGGAAAGGUCAACUGAUACUGUGCGGCUAGAGUGCAGAAGGGGCAACUGGAAUUCUCGGUGUAGCGGUGAAAUGCGUAGAUAUCGAGAGGAACACCUGCGGCGAAGGCGGGUUGCUGGGCUGACACUGACGCUGAUGCGCGAAAGCCAGGGGAGCGAACAGG
rnacentral:rRNA from 1 species